AAUAUGAAAAAUCUAAAGUCACCACUCUCCCUCCUCCUCCACCUGCUCUCGUAUUCUUCUUACAUUUGGGUUUUCAUCUCACUUCAAUCCCACGCUCUUUCUUCGCUUAACUCAUCGCUUCUUUUCGCUUUCAGCUGUUGGCCCCCAGGAUAGGCUACUUGCCUUUGUUGAUUUCGCUUUUGAAGCCUCACUUCAGCACCAUGCUUCCCCCUGGAGUUGACACCAUUUGGUUUGAAUACAAGGGCCUUCCUAUUAAGUGGUAUAUACCCACUGGUGUUCUUUUUGAUCUUCUAUGCGUGGAGCCCGAGAGGCCGUGGAAUUUAACGGUACACUUUAGAGGAUAUCCAAGUAAUUUGUUGGUUCCCUGUGAAGGUGAAGACAGCGUGAAGUAAUUUGUUGGUUCUCUGUUUUUAAACAAAUAUUUCUUUGCAAUUCAGUGUGAAUUCAGCGUGAGUUUACGUGUGUUUCAGUAAAUGGAGUCUGUUGUACUUCAAUUUGCAUACCCUUGCAGGAUUAGAUUUAUAUAAGUUCUAUUUUUUGGUGGUCAGUUUGUUUUGAUAUUGUCCUUUGUGUUCUCUAAUUUCUGUUCAUUUUCCACAUUAAGUUGGCAUGUCCCUUCCUGAAUCCUAUAUGUCGGUUUUAAAAAAAAAACUGUCAAAACAUGAAGGUAGCAUAUUUCGUGACAAUAAUUUUGAUUUUGUUUGUUAAUUUACAGAAAUGAUUUACUUAUGCAAUUUAAAAGUUAAAGUUACUAUUUGUUUUAGUUUUUCUAGUUUAGUUUCUUGUAGUCUGAUCAAACCUCAGGAAUGUCUUUUUCUACAUUGAUUUCUUCUUGUGGUAUCUGCUCCUCUAUGGUAUAUGUCAUUUCAGGCUGUAUCUCUUUUUGACAAUUCUCAUUAACUGCAUCGUUUCCAACUAACAUUGUAGUAGGCAAUGAUUGUAGGUCUUCAUGUUCAAGCACACCUAUCAAUAUAGAUAUGAAAUGUUGAAAACAAUAAUUUACACAGCUGUUUAUGUUACACUUGUAAUACAUCUAUAUGUUCUGUGUUAAUUAGAAAGGUAUUAUUGCUGCAAGAAGCUUCUUUAUGGGGCCAUAUAAUUACUAAUUAUGUAUUAUAAUCCACCUAUAGAGGCAUGUGGAUUCAAGAAUUUUUAUUUCAUCUAAUUCAUGUUGUUAUUUUUCUUUUGGGGGCAUGAAUAUAUGCAUUGCGUUUGUUUUUAGCUUUUGGUUUUGAAUUCUAAAAUUUAAAAACUUAAUUACCUUUAGUUUCUAAUUUUUGCAUCACAACGUCAGUAGGCUGUUUAGCAUUUGUGGCUUCCUGUAAUGUGAUUUCACUUGCAUCCUUAUUCUCUAAAUUCUCUAUGAAGUGUGGUUCUAGUGUCUUCUCUUUAUCAACAUGAUAACUUAAUUUUGUACCGCAUUCUGCUAUCACAUGUUCUUUUGAUUGGUUGUCUGCAUGUUCUUCUUUUACUAUGCUCAUG